ACCAAGGUCAGUCAUAGCCCCAUUCCUCUCUCUCUCUCUCUCUCUCUCUCUCUCUCUCUCUCUCUCUCUCUCUCUCUCUCUCUCUCUCUCUUUCUCUCUCUCUCUUGUAGUUUCUCCCUCUCUUCCAGAAUAGCUCAGCGAUGGCAGCGGAACACCUCCCGACCUACCCAGUCAAAUUGAUGAAGACGAACGGAAGUUGAUUUCUUAUCCGAUGAAACUAAAACUUUACUAGGAUAGUAGCCUCAUCAAAGCAGCAGUGGAGUCACCAAUGCUUGCACAAUCAAAUUGAUGAAGACAAUCGGAUAGUGAUUUCUUAUAAAGAGGGAGAUUGCCAAGUUUCUGCAGCAGUGCUUGAUGUGCCAGCAGGUUAAGGCUAAGCUCCAAAGAGUGGCGAGAUAGUUGUAGCCACUUCACAUCCCUCAGUGGAAGUGGGAUCAUAUUUCUAUCUUCUUUACCGACACCCACCAUCUCUCUGCCUCCCCUGAUAACUUGAACAUUGCAAAGGUUACCUUCUGCUUCUCUGUGCAGUUCAGAACAUCCAGGAUCUUCUCGAUCUCCUGAAUCCAAUCCUCAUUUCGAAUCAGAUCUGCACUUCCUAUGAAAUCCCAAGGCUUCAAUCUAGUGAACUGAUCAAUGGAGCAUCCCAUCUCAGUUGUGGGACGGUCUUGCCCUCCAUUCGUUCGCACCACCUCAGCCAUAAGUUGCUAUGUGAAAUCUCGCAAUACACUCAUAGAGUCACUGCCAGCCUCAUGGCCGGUGCCCUCACUACUACUACCUCCCACAUUGGCAAUAUUGUCCUUGAAUUCCAUCCUGAAAAGCAAUUGUGAACAUCCAUUAAAAAAGUAAUAGCCUAAGUAUCAGCUAAUACUACAAUACCACAGACUCAAUUCCCUAAAUCCAUAUUCUUAAUAUUGACAUACUCCAUCAAUUUAACAUCCUCAUUCUAACUCAA